GACGAACGCUGGCGGCGUGCUUAACACAUGCAAGUCGAACGGAAAGGCCCCUUCGGGGGUACUCGAGUGGCGAACGGGUGAGUAACACGUGAGUAACCUGCCCUUGACUUCGGGAUAACUUCAGGAAACUGGGGCUAAUACCGGAUAGGAAUCCUUGCUGCAUGGUGGGGGUUGGAAAGCUUCGGCGGUUUUGGAUGGACUCGCGGCUUAUCAGCUUGUUGGUGGGGUAGUGGCUUACCAAGGCUUUGACGGGUAGCCGGCCUGAGAGGGCGACCGGCCACAUUGGGACUGAGAUACGGCCCAGACUCCUACGGGAGGCAGCAGUGGGGAAUAUUGCACAAUGGGCGGAAGCCUGAUGCAGCAACGCCGCGUGCGGGAUGACGGCCUUCGGGUUGUAAACCGCUUUCAGCAGGGGCGAAGCUUGUGGUGACGGUACCUGCAGAAGAAGCACCGGCUAGCUACGUG
rnacentral:rRNA from 1 species